CGGCUUGAAGUUUGGAAGUAG
rnacentral:misc_RNA from 1 species